UGGCAAGCUUAUGCGCGGCGGUUCCCUCGCACCUCGGCUCUCACUGCAGGACGCGACCCAGCCGUUUUGGUAAGUACAUAUUUUAUCUCUUAAAGCCCCAGACCCUUUAGUUUUAAAACUUAAAGACACAUACCCAUAUUACAAACUUUCAUAUUUUCUUGCAGAUUUCAACUUUAUUACACAAAUCCUUGCUUAACUCUGAGGGUGACCCCCUCCAGCCUUUACUCUGAG